UUAUUACAAGUGGUAGGGGAGCAUUCUAACAGGGUUGAAGGUGUGUUGUAAAGCAUGCUGGACUGGUUAGAAAAGAAAAUGUAGGCAUAAGUAACGAUAAUGCGGGCGAGAAACCCGCACACCGAAAGACUAAGGUUUCCACAGCUAUGCUAAUCAGCUGUGGGUUAGUCGGGACCUAAGGCGAACCCGAAAGGGACAGUCGAUGGACCACGGGUUAAUAUUCCCGUACUACUAAUUACUGUGAUGGGGUGACGGAGUGAUGAAAGCGCCGCGAACUGACGGAAUAGUUCGUUGAAGUACCUACCUAUAAGCUGCGCAGGCAAAUCCACGCGGCUUGGGGAAAUACGAUAGUACUCGGAGUCUUCGGACAAAGAGAUAGUGCGCCUAAGGGCUUCCAAGAAAAACCUCUAAACUUCAGGUAAUUAGUACCCGUACCGCAAACCGACACAGGUAGUCGAGGAGAGAAUCCUAAGGUGCUCGAGAGAUUCAUGGCUAAGGAAUUAGGCAAAAUAGACCCGUAACUUCGGGAGAAGGGUCGCCCCGAGUAAUCGGGGCCGCAGUGAAGAGGUCCAGGCGACUGUUUAUCAAAAACACAGGGCUCUGCAAAAUCGUAAGAUGAAGUAUAGGGCCUGACACCUGCCCGGUGCUGGAAGGUUAAGAGGAGAUGUUAUCUUCGGAGAAGCAUUGAAUUGAAGCCCCAGUAAACGGCGGCCGUAACAAUAACGGUCCUAAGGUAGCGAAAUUCCUUGUCGGGUAAGUUCCGACCUGCACGAAUGGUGUAACGAUCUGGACACUGUCUCAGCCAUGAGCUCGGUGAAAUUGUAGUAACGGUGAAGAUGCCGUUUACCCGCAGUGGGACGAAAAGACCCUGUGCACCUUUACUAUAGCUUAGUAUUGACCUUGGAUAAAUGAUGUGUAGGAUAGGUUGGAGACUGUGAAGUGGCGUCGCUAGGCGUUGUGGAGUCAUUGUUGAAAUACAACCCUUUGUUUAUCUGAGGCCUAACCCCGCGAACGCGGGGGACAUUGCUUGGUGGGUAGUUUGACUGGGGUGGUCGCCUCCAAAAGAGUAACGGAGGCUUCUAAAGGUUCCCUCAGUACGCUUGGUAACCGUGCGUAGAGUGCAAUGGCAUAAGGGAGCUUGACUGAGAGACAUACAGGUCGAUCAGGUACGAAAGUAGAGCAUAGUGAUCCGGUGGUUCCGCAUGGAAGGGCCAUCGCUCAAAGGAUAAAAGGUACGCCGGGGAUAACAGGCUGAUCUCCCCCAAGAGCUA
rnacentral:rRNA from 1 species